CCAGUCACCACUCAGGCACUCACCAUACAUCUCGAUGAAAAAAAAGUCAGUUUCUAUUUUAACACCCAAAAUUACUUGGACAUAGAAAGGAAGAAGAGGAGAGAGAAAGAAAAACAGUGACAGCCUUCACCACUCUGAAUUAUUCGUGAUUGUUCAUCAAAUCACUCAUCAAGGUUGAAAAUUGGUUGUGAAGAAUUUGCUGUUGGAGGUGAAUGUAAGAGUAGAUGGAGGAAAAUUACAGUCAAAUUGGUGAACAAUACUGGAAGUCGGAUUAAGAGGUGCCGGAAUGGCGUCGGCGAGUAUCGGAAAUGGUGGACCAGGGAGUUCAAUGGCAAGUGAUGGCCAUAAGGGGUCAUCUAGUUCUGUGGAUUGGCUGGGAAAAGAGAUGCUUGAAUUAAGAUUGGGAGACAGAAUGGACAAUGAUGAUGAUAGACAGGAUAGUGAACCAGAUAUGAUUGAUGGCGUUGGUGCAGAAGCAGGACAUGUCAUCAGGACAACAGUUGGUGGUCGAAAUGGUCAACCUAGGCAGACCAUCAAUUACAUUGCAGAGCACGUGGUUGGAACAGGUUCCUUUGGUGUUGUAUUUCAGGCAAAAUGUAGGGAGACGGGAGAGAUUGUAGCCAUCAAGAAGGUGCUACAGGAUAAGCGCUACAAAAACAGGGAGUUGCAGAUCAUGCAGAUGUUGGAUCAUCCUAAUAUUGUAGCUCUCAAGCAUUGUUUCUUUUCAACAACAGACAAGGAGGAGAUAUACCUUAAUCUUGUUUUAGAAUAUGUGCCUGAGACCGUCAAUCGCAUUGCACGAGGAUACAACAGGAUGCACCAGAGGAUGCCUUUAAUAUAUGUGAAGCUCUAUACCUAUCAGAUCUGCAGGGCACUGGCUUAUUUACAUAACUGCAUUGGCAUAUGUCAUCGGGACAUUAAGCCUCAGAAUUUGCUGGUGAAUCCACAUACGCACCAGCUCAAACUUUGUGAUUUUGGAAGUGCCAAAGUGUUGGUUAAAGGAGAAGCCAAUGUUUCUUACAUAUGCUCUAGAUACUAUCGUGCCCCAGAACUCAUUUUUGGUGCGACUGAGUAUACCACUGCAAUAGAUAUAUGGUCUACAGGAUGCGUCAUGGCAGAAUUACUUCUUGGGCAGCCAUUAUUUCCUGGGGAGAGCGGGGUAGAUCAAUUAGUGGAGAUCAUUAAGGUUCUGGGAACACCAACAAGGGAGGAGAUAAAGUGCAUGAAUCCCAAUUACACUGAAUUUAAGUUUCCACAAAUAAAACCUCAUCCAUGGCACAAGGUUGGUUGGAUUGGAACAUGGGGUCAAUUCGGUUCUGGUCGAAUUGAGUGAUCAUGAGUCAUUCGGUCCAUGUCUGGGUCAGCUCAGUCGCUCAGAUCGAAUUUGUGUUAGGUCUAUCAAAUCCCGUUGAAAAGCCAAUACUGGAUUUUAUUGUGGUCAGAAGGAGUAUAUUAUAAGGAAAGAAUGCUCCGAAUGGAUAUUUAUUACUCUUGGAAUUAGUACUUCUUUCCCUUCCUUAAGCUGACGUAUGGAAAAUCAGAGUGCGAAGUGGUGACGUGUGAUUGAAUUGUUUCUUGCUUGUUUUAUGACUGAAUGGAAAAGUAAUCUAGUCCUCACUAUGAUAUGAUGUUGGUCCAGUUUACCCACGUUAAAUAUUACAAUAAGGGCUGGCCAUGAGUGGAGCCGAGGCGAACUGAAUUUCAAUAUUAUUGAAGCUUGAGCCACUUGAUCUCACUACAUAUUCUAGCUUGAGUUUGGCUUAAAUGUUCUUGAGUUCAUCUUGAUAAAUAGUGUUCAAUCAAUAAAGUCAAUAAUGUAGUUCUGUUUUGGUAGGUUUUGUUUUCCGUGUUGUUUAACCAAGUCCAACAUAGAAAUCCAAUGGGUCAGUUAUGACAGGGUCCAUAUUUGACCCGCCUCUAUAUGGACUUGAACUUAUUUAUUCAGAUUUAAACUUUAUCAAUAUGAUUCGAAUCUAAUGGGAUUUAGGUUGAGAAAGUAGAUUGUAUGAACCAAAGUGCGGUUAAUUGAAAAUAAGAGUUUGAUAGAAUAAUAUUCUAUUUACUUUAUAUUUUAUAAGGCAAACUCAAUUAUCUUACAAAAUUUAAUCUUUCAUUUAUCAGUUAAUGAGGGGAUAAUGAAAAAGCAGAUUCAUGUUGGAUUCAGAUCAGAUUGUACUUGCAAACCCAAUUCUAUUUUCAUAAUUAUAUAAGAUUCUUUUUCUUUGGAUUGAGUUGGAGUCAGUUCGGUCGUGGACUAGAUUGCAUCCCUUAUCAAGCAUAGUCACUAACUUCUAAUCUCAUGUAUUCCAAUAAUUCUAUUAGAAAAGUACUCUAGAAUGUAGGAGUUCAGCAAUAAUCUUCUUUUGCACUCCACCAAAGGAAACCCAAUUCUGAGGUAAAUUUGCUUGAAUUCAGAUUGAGCUGCAAACUCAUGAAAACUCUAUAAAACAGCCACUCAGCUCACCUUUUCUCAACAUAAGCAUAUUAUUGGCCAACUUAAGAUGCGUCAAUUCAAGCUUCUUACAUGUGGGAUUUAAGAACUUCAAUUUUAUGUUCUAAUUCAU